GCGGAUAUGGCGUAAUCGGUAGCCGCGUCAGACUUAGGAUCUGAUUCCGAGAGGAGUGGGGGUUCGAGUCCCCCUAUCCGCA
rnacentral:tRNA from 1 species